AACGAACGCUGGCGGCGCGCCUAAUACAUGCAAGUCGAGCGAGAAGACGUAGCAAUACGUUUGUAAAGCGGCGAACGGGUGAGGAAUACAUGGGCAACCUACCCUCGAGUGGGGAAUAACUAGCCGAAAGGUUAGCUAAUACCGCGUACGCUCCUUGGACUUCGGUUCAGGGAGGAAAGCGAUACCGUGGGUAUCGCGCUCUUGGAUGGGCUCAUGUCCUAUCAGCUAGAGGUGGGGUAAUGGCUCACCUAGGCGACGAUCCCUAGCUGGUCUGAGAGGAUGACCAGCCACACUGGAACUGAGACACGGUCCAGACUCCUACGGGAGGCAGCAGUGGGGAAUAUUGCACAAUGGGCGCAAGCCUGAUGCAGCCAUGCCGCGUGUGUGAAGAAGGCC
rnacentral:rRNA from 1 species